rnacentral:rRNA from 1 species
AUGAUUGGUUGCAACAAUGUCAUUUCUUCACAUAUUCCAUGUCCCAUUGAUUGCUACAUGCUUAACUUGAUUGCCUCACACAUGAUGAACAAUUACUCUUUCUAUUGUGUUGAGUGCCACACUAUAUUCACUACACCCUAUGCACGAUAUGCUUGGAUUGUCUUACACUUGACCCAUGUGUUUAGACACUUCAUUUUAUUUGGUGUUGUGAAUGAUUCUUAUGCCUACCAUAGACCUUUCAUUGAGCAACUUGUGAAUGCUUGCUAUGACCUUGAGGUAGAUGCUUAUUCUCUUGUCAAACAUAUUUGCAUCGCUACCUCACACUUACAUGCUUGUACCCAUGAUAUCUUUGCCUGUGCUCGAUUGAUAUGCUCACAUGCCAUGUCACAAUCCUUUGUCACACCAUAUGCUAUGCUUGAUGAUGACACUUGUUGGGUGACUCACCUCUCGAAUGCUUGGUUUUGCACUAACGCUAACCACAUUUGUUUUUCCAAGUGUUUGUUGUCCUUGCUACUUUUGAAGGAAUCACAAGACGGUGCGACAUUGGAGAGUGCCCAUUUCGAGCUACUAGAUGAUGAGUAG